AGUGAACGCUGGCGGUAGGCCUAACACAUGCAAGUCGAACGGCAGCACAGUAAGAGCUUGCUCUUACGGGUGGCGAGUGGCGGACGGGUGAGGAAUACAUCGGAAUCUACUUUUUCGUGGGGGAUAACGUAGGGAAACUUACGCUAAUACCGCAUACGACCUACGGGUGAAAGCAGGGGAUCUUCGGACCUUGCGCGAUUGAAUGAGCCGAUGUCGGAUUAGCUAGUUGGCGGGGUAAAGGCCCACCAAGGCGACGAUCCGUAGCUAGUCUGAGAGGAUGAUCAGCCACACUGGAACUGAGACACGGUCCAGACUCCUACGGGAGGCAGCAGUGGGGAAUAUUGGACAAUGGGCGCAAGCCUGAUCCAGCCAUACCGCGUGGGUGAAGAAGGCCUUCGGGUUGUAAAGCCCUUUUGUUGGGAAAGAAAAGCAGCAGGUUAAUACCCCGCUGUUCUGACGGUACCCAAAGAAUAAGCACCGGCUAACUUCGU
rnacentral:rRNA from 1 species